UACGUAGGGUCCGAGCGUUGUCCGGAAUUACUGGGCGUAAAGAGCUCGUAGGUGGUUUGUCGCGUUGUUCGUGAAAACUCACAGCUCAACUGUGGGCGUGCGGGCGAUACGGGCAGACUAGAAUACUGCAGGGGAGACUGGAAUUCCUGGUGUAGCGGUGGAAUGCGCAGAUAUCAGGAGGAACACCGGUGGCGAAGGCGGGUCUCUGGGCAGUAACUGACGCUGAGGCACGAAAGCGUGGGGAGCAAACAGG
rnacentral:rRNA from 1 species